CACAAGACUCUAUUGUUAAAUCAUUCUUGGCUUAACAAAAGCAAAACAAAAAAUAAUUAAUGCUAUAAUGAUAUAUAGAUUAAACAUACUGCUAUCUUAAUGUAACAUUUUUGAUAAGGCCAGUAAAUAACAUACUUUACCAUUGUUCGUUUCCUUCAGUGGGUUCAUUUAAAUAUUACAAACAAUUUGACAUAAACACAAGCAUUAAACGCAUUUCCAGAAGUAUCUCUUUGCUGUGGAAAGAAACAUGCUUUUGUUUAACACUGGUAAAUUGCUGAAAGGUAGGUUUGGUUAUUGAAAUCCUGUCUGUUUGUUUAUUUGAAAGUAGGAGCUCCCUUCAGGACAAAUGGCACAAAAAUGAUAUUUCAUACUGUUUCCUUUUCACUAGAACCUGUUUGAUGUCUCAAUGUGCCAGAGGCGUGAUACACAUUAUCUGACAUAAUUACUGGAAUUUAUAACCAUGGGCUGACUUGGAAACAAAAGGAUCUUUUAAAACUCGGAUUUAAAAAAAAAAAAAGGUAGUGAAGAGAUUCCCUUACCAGUGAUGUAUUAUUCUGACAAAACCUUGACCUGAAACCCCCCAAAGGUUAAAACCACAGCACCUGUAAAUACGAUCGUUCUUUUCAGCCAAUGUUGCUGUCCUCCCUCAUUCCUGAGCUUGACUCCUGCCUCAGAAGCUAGAAGACAGAAUGACAUGUUGACCAGUACCACCACCAGACAUAGACUAGUGAACGCCAUCAGUAUCCAAAACUGGACCUACCUGACCCAGUAGAAAGAGGGAAGGAGGAAGGAAAAAAAACCUGAAGGGGAAGAAACCUCUGGGAUCACUGUCAAUGAAUCAUACCAUGAAUCCUUGCCAAUCGUAAUACAUUGCAUUCUGAACUUGUGGAAUGAGCAGUUAGUACACAUUAUAUCUGUAAUGCAUUGCUCCUUUGUUUGUGUCCGUGUUAUCUCUGUGAUGCAUGGGGCUAUCUGUAUUGCUGUUUCUUUUGGCUUAAUUUGGCUCUUAUCUCACUCGGCCAUUGAAAGAUUUUCUCUGCUUUUUCUGGAGAAAAAACUACUAGAGACCUGUGCUUUACAUCCUUUUGAUGUUAUCGGACAGGGUGUGACAUCGGACUGGAAAGGGAAAAUUGUAAUGUCGUACCUGGUCCGACAUAGGCCCACAAAAGGUUAAAAUUGGGGUGUGUUUUCAAUUCUUUAAUGAACUUAAUUCCACAUUGAUUUUACAACAUUGAGCAACAAAGAA